GACGAACGCUGGCGGCGUGCCUAAUACAUGCAAGUCGAGCGGACGAAUCGAAAGCUUGCUUUUGAUUCGUUAGCGGCGGACGGGUGAGUAACACGUGGGCAACCUGCCCUGUAGACGGGGAUAACACCGAGAAAUCGGUGCUAAUACCGGAUAACACGAAAUGUCGCAUGACGUUUCGUUGAAAGACGGCGCAAGCUGUCGCUACAGGAUGGGCCCGCGGCGCAUUAGCUAGUUGGUGAGGUAACGGCUCACCAAGGCGACGAUGCGUAGCCGACCUGAGAGGGUGAUCGGCCACACUGGGACUGAGACACGGCCCAGACUCCUACGGGAGGCAGCAGUAGGGAAUCUUCCGCAAUGGACGAAAGUCUGACGGAGCAACGCCGCGUGAGCGAAGAAGGCCUUCGGGUCAUAAAGCUCUGUUGUUAGGGAAGAACAAGUAACGCAGUAACUGGCGUUACCGUGACGGUACCUAACGAGAAAGCCACGGCUAACUACGUG
rnacentral:rRNA from 1 species